CCCAGACAGCCAGGAUGUUGGCUUAGAAGCAGCCAUCAUUUAAAGAAAGCGUAAUAGCUCACUGGUCGAGUCGGCCUGCGCGGAAGAUGUAACGGGGCUAAACCAUGCACCGAAGCUGCGGCAGCGAACGUAUCACUUAAAGCGAUUCAGCGGGUUACGAUUGACGGAGCGAAGCGACGUCAAAGCGUAUACAAAGUCGAGUCGGUUUAAGGAUACGUUCGUUGGGUAGGGGAGCGUUCUGUAAGCCUGCGAAGGUGGCCUGUGAGGGUUGCUGGAGGUAUCAGAAGUGCGAAUGCUGACAUAAGUAACGAUAAAGCGGGUGAAAAGCCCGCUCGCCGGAAGACCAAGGGUUCCUGUCCAACGUUAAUCGGGGCAGGGUGAGUCGACCCCUAAGGCGAGGCCGAAAGGCGUAGUCGAUGGGAAACGGGUUAAUAUUCCCGUACUUGGUGUUACUGCGAAGGGGGGACGGAGAAGGCUAUGUUGGCCGGGCGACGGUUGUCCCGGUUUAAGCGUGUAGGUGUGUGUUCCAGGUAAAUCCGGUUCACUUUAACACUGAGGCGUGAUGACGAGGCACUACGGUGCUGAAGCAACAAAUGCCCUGCUUCCAGGAAAAGCCUCUAAGCAUCAGGUAACAUCAAAUCGUACCCCAAACCGACACAGGUGGUCAGGUAGAGAAUACCAAGGCGCUUGA
rnacentral:rRNA from 1 species